CCUACGAGGUGCUGCAGUGGGGAAUAUUGGACAAUGGGCGAAAGCCUGAUCCAGCCAUGCCGCGUGUGUGAAGAAGGCCUUCGGGUUGUAAAGCACUUUCAGUGGGGAAGAAAGCCUUGGGGCUAAUACCCUCGAGGAAGGACAUCACCCACAGAAGAAGCACCGGCUAACUCCGUGCCAGCAGCCGCGGUAAUACGGAGGGUGCGAGCGUUAAUCGGAAUUACUGGGCGUAAAGCGCGCGUAGGCGGUCUGAUAAGCCGGUUGUGAAAGCCCCGGGCUCAACCUGGGAACGGCAUCCGGAACUGUCAGGCUAGAGUGCAGGAGAGGAAGGUAGAAUUCCCGGUGUAGCGGUGAAAUGCGUAGAGAUCGGGAGGAAUACCAGUGGCGAAGGCGGCCUUCUGGACUGACACUGACGCUGAGGUGCGAAAGCGUGGGUAGCAAACAGGAUUAGAAACCCUGUAGUC
rnacentral:rRNA from 1 species